GAUGAACGCUGGCGGCGUGCCUAAUACAUGCAAGUCGAGCGAACGGACGAGAAGCUUGCCUCUCUGAUGUUAGCGGCGGACGGGUGAGUAACACGUGGAUAACCUUCCUAUAAGACUGGGAUAACUUCGGGAAACCGGAGCUAAUACCGGAUAAUAUUUUGAACCGCAUGGUUCAAAAGUGAAAGACGGUCUUGCUGUCACUUAUAGAUGGAUCCGCGCUGCAUUAGCUAGUUGGUAAGGUAACGGCUUACCAAGGCAACGAUGCAUAGCCGACCUGAGAGGGUGAUCGGCCACACUGGAACUGAGACACGGUCCAGACUCCUACGGGAGGCAGCAGUAGGGAAUCUUCCGCAAUGGGCGAAAGCCUGACGGAGCAACGCCGCGUGAGUGAUGAAGGUCUUCGGAUCGUAAAACUCUGUUAUUAGGGAAGAACAUAUGUGUAAGUAACUGUGCACAUCUUGACGGUACCUAAUCAGAAAGCCACGGCUAACUACGUG
rnacentral:rRNA from 1 species